rnacentral:lncRNA from 1 species
GGUCCAAAUGGAGCUACACCUGCUGGCCUACAUCACAGCAACAUUAGAGCCGAGCCAUGUCUGUGACCUACACCACAGCUCACGGCAAAGCCAGAUCCUUAACCCACUGAGUAAGGCCACAGACUAAACCCCUAACCUCAUGGUUCCUAGUUGAAUUCAUUUCCGUUGCACCACAACAGGAACUCCUAGUUUGCAUUAUUUAAAGAAUUUAUUAUUAAACAAAACAAUGAGGCUAAAAUAUGGCAUGAGGUUAGAGUACUUCAAUUUUCAUAAGAAUUAAACUUGGUAAUUAGCAAGCAUAAUGAUAAUAGUGAUUUGAAGCUUAUAACUAACACAUUUUAAUUUUUUUACUUUUAAUUUUUAUUUCCCCAAUACCUUAUUAUUUUUUUCUACUGUACUUACACAUUUUUUGUUUGUUUUCUGUUUGUUCCUUUUUUAUUGUUUGUUAUUAUUUUUUAAUAGUUAUUUUCCCAGUACAAUUUCUUUUUCUACUGUACAGCAUGGUGACCCAGUUACACAUUCAUGUAUACAGUGUGUGUAUUUACACAUUUUAAAGAAAAUGACAGACUUUUCCCCUAAAAGCCAGAUUUUUUUUAUUUCAGUCAAGUUAUUUAAUUCUAAAAUAAAAAUUGCUUCCACUGAUUUCUACCCAGAUUCUAGUUGUUUAUUAUGUUUUCUGGACCUCAGAAUAACUGAAACAUCAGCUAUAAUUUUAUUUGAUGCUGAUCUUUACCCAGCCUUAGAUCUGAGCCUGUGUGAAAAUACCAAUAUGAUGCCUUCCACUUACACAGCAUUUUUAAUUUUUCUUGUUCUAUAUAAAGAGUUAACGUUGUUAUUAUGGCUUCUGUAUGUAGAAUAUGAAUUUGCUUUAAAAUAAAAAUAUUAACCCAAGUAUUGAAAACUACACAAGAAGUUGUUAUAUAAUAACUAAAAUACAUGUUCAAAGAACUGGGAAUUCAUGUGAACUGCCUUUAGAAACUGGAGUAUUGGUGAUAAGCUAAGAUUUCAAAACUGCACAAAUGUAAUUAUUUAAGUGCUACUGUAUCUUUGGAGACUAAAGUUAAAAAAAAAAAAAAAAGCUUCCCUCUGUCAUCUUCCCUGUAGUUGCAUUAACCCUAUUCUAGUGGCUUAGGUGUGAGUCAGAACUAACAGUUGUAACUGGUCCCAAAAGUCAUCUGCUCAGCAGUCCUGGCCUCUAACAUGACAGCAACUGAGAAAGAAGCCCUAGUGGUCUCCUUCAGAGUCUGGGAAUUAUAGAUUCCUGUGGAAUCUUUGACUAGAAGUAUUGCUUGCUUCCAACUCUUGUCUCCUUACAAUCUGUUUUCCAGAAAGUAGGCAGAGUAAAAGAGUACUAAACAAGCACAAUUUCAAAAACAUCAACUGGUUUCCCAUACUCUUAUAAUAAGACUCAAACUAAGUCCCAUCAUUUAAAAGACUCACCAAGAUCAAUCUAGGCCCUCAUGCCUUCUGAUUUUACCUCCUACCCUUCCUCUCACUCACAGUAUUGUGGCCUUUACGGAUUUAUUUAUGUUCUUUAAACAUAAGGAGUUCAUCCCACAUGAGACAUUCAUUCACAUCUGAGGAUCUCUGAAUUCUCUGUCCACCUAGAACUACCUGCAUCUGAGACCUUUCAGAGCUAUAACUCCUUCAACUGAGCUUCAGCUAACACACUGCUUCCUUUAACAAAGCCUUUCCUCACUCCCCAAGGUGACUCCUACACCAUGAACUAUCACAACACCUAUUUCAUUUUCUUCUCACUCUUUAUCAUUAUAUAAAAGUAUUUUGUUGAUUUACCUGUGCCCUUGCUCUUUGGCUUUUCCCCUGGUCCCCAUCCAUUCAAAAAUGAAAACAUCACAAAAACCAAAGACACAAAGUUCAGACUCAAAUGUGCAUCAUCCACUGAGCUAUAAAAUCUUUGCUUUCCUAUGUAGAGAAUGGGGUCUUCUUCCUGGAAACUCAUGCAAACCUUGAACUCCUGAUGGGCAGAGGGUUCUUCUACUCUCUUGUGCAGGGAUAGUUUUUAAAUGUCUAGAAAAUAUACUCAUCAGGUAUUGCUCACUACAGAUUCUGGUGGCCUCCUCAAUACAACAUCAGAUAAGCAUCACAUGUAAUGAAGAGUGGUCAGGAGUGUGUCUCCAAGCUUGACAUCUAAUAGGUGGAUAUUCAUGCAAAGCACAUGAGGUCAAUCUAACAGUGCCCACAUGGAUAUAUUGCCCAAUUAAUAUUUAAUAAAAAUCAAUAUUGACUGUUCUUUGUGUUAUUCUUUGGUACCUUUAAAGAUAUUUGUUUCUUUUCCUUUUAAAAUUGAUUUCAUUAAUAUUUCUUUUUUUUAUUAAUGUCUGAUUUGGUAUGUUUUGAGGCAGAGUAGAGAGAUUCAAUCUAUGUGUUCAUCAGCAGUCAGUCAGACAAACCCUAUGGCACACAGAUGGUAACAAAAGCUUCCUGAUGAUGCUUUCUGUCUCAGUGUAAAAGAUCCUAGCCCGGAAAGCUCUGUAGCAGCAAGAAGGCAUUGAGAUUGGUCACUCCUGGACACCUCCCAGGUCUGUAUUCCCAAUAGUCUUAUGUAAGUAAGUUUGUUUUUAACAAUCUGCAUAAAAUUUGUGAGCACAUUUUCCCACCUACCCUUAAGUUAGUCGUUGAAAUCUGGACCUUCAACUAGUUGUGCAAUGAAGAAGGAUUUUGCCCUUGAAAUGUGUUUUAUGCAAUACUUCUACAAGGAAAUUUAAUUAAUCAACUCUAGAUUCAAAACAAAAGGAUAGUUUUCCUGUGUACAGUACUUUCAUUAUCCUCAGCACCUUAUUUGCUGAGCUGAUCUUUGCUCUUUUGAAAGUAUGGAAUUAACCAUUUGAUAAAGAAAAGCUCAUUUCUCAGCACACUGACCUACUUUUUCCUUAAUUUACCUCAUUUUGAAAUGUGAAUGAAAAGGUACUUUUUAUGAAUAUUUAGCAUUGAGACAACAAUUGAAUCAUUAAUCAAAAUAAUAAGGAUUUUUCAAUCUAUUCAGCUAAAUGUGGCCUUUAAAUACAAUGCCUUUCUUAACAAGAGCUGGCACAUUCUCUGAGGCCUUGCCUGAGAAAAACCCCUUGAGUUCAAAUUAGUUUUAUUUUCUUUUCAGUCUUUGUUCUUAUGUAUUGUUUUAGUUUAUUUGAGUUGAAAGGCCUGUGUGUUAAUCAGGAAUAACAGAAAAGACUUCUAGAUGUUGUCCACAGAAGACAACAUUACAGAGAAGCCUUGUAUUUCCUAAAAAUAAUUUAACUCAGAUAUUCAGUUGCUCUUAAACAAGUGUCUAACAUCUAAAUUUAUACAACUGAUCCUUGGAUAACAUGAAGGUUAGAAGCAUAGAGGCGCUGAUCCCUGCACAGUCAAAAAUCCACCUACUGCUAAAAAAAAAAAAACUGCAUUUCAGAUACCAGGUUGAACCCAAUGUGAAGUCUUAAUAAUUAAAAAUAUUUUUUUUGAUUUAAAAAAACUGGUUCUGAUCUAUUACUAUUUAAAUAUCAUACAAGGUUAUUCAAAUAAAUGUUCUAUUCCUUAUAAGUUUAUCUAUGGAUUUCAAUCGUUCUUAUUGACAAUUAAUAUUAUCUUAAGAAAUGUUUUAGAACAGUCAGCCUGGCUUAUAUAUCUAAUCUUCCAAAGAGCAAGCUAUAAUUCAACAGAAAUGAAGAACUAUGGGCCUGGAAGUAUAGGCCUUUGCACAUUAUUUUAAUGUAUUGCCUGUACACUUAAGGGAAAACUAGAAUAAAAGGUGAAUUUAAAUAUAUUCAAAUAUUGCUUUACAGAGGGAGAAUAAUAUUGGGAGACAAAGAUUCAUAUUUAAGAUUAUAAAACAAAUGUAACUGAGGAAAUAUUUUUAAACUGUUUAAACACAAUUUUAAAUACCAUAAAUGAUUAUACCAUUGCUAUUGUUUAUUUGUUUUGCAAACACUCAGAAACCUAUGUACUCAAAAUUGCUUCUCAUUUCCUUUAGUGACCUAAGUCCCUCUGAGCCGAAAGAAGAAUGAAAGAUUCAAGUAAAUAAGAAACAAGAUAGGAGUAAAAUAAAAAUUGAAAAAUCCCAAUUUUCUUUCACAGUGUUAUCUAUUUCAAAUAAUUAAAUAGUUUGGUUGAUAACCGCAUAAGUAAAUCCGAUUAUAUCAUCAGGCUAAUUUUCCUCUAAAUAUAACAUAACAGAGUUUGUAUUUUUCAAAACACAAACUAAUAUUUAAAGAGUUUUAUCAAACUGGCACAAGAGAAAAAUAAAAUAAUACUGGCACAGCCAUCCUUACACCCAGUUGUCUAACAGAGCAAAAUAUUUCACUCAGAACAGGUAUCAUUUCCCUGCUUUAUUUAGUCUCCUAAUAUAUGGUCAGCCUGGCACUUCUAAAAAAAUAUAAACUCUUUCUUCCAAUUGUUAUUUACAAAAAAUAUAUAUACUUGGAUUAAGAGUAAGAAAUUUUUGAAAGUAUAUUUUCUUCAUGAUAUAAAGGAUCUUGACAACAUACUAUUCACUGCAGUUGCUUGUGCUAUCGGUGAACUUCAUUUUAUGACCUUCUCAUAUAAAUUGUUCAUGAGGGGCCUCCUCUUACAGACUCUUGAAACAAGAAUGUAUCCUGUACAUUUAUGUUACAGGUUUAUUAUGAUAGAUUGUUCUUGCCACAGAACUGGAAACUACCAAGCCAGUUUAUAAAAUGUUAAUAAAAAGAGUGCUCACAGUAAAGCAGACUCCUUUACGGAGCAACCCAAGCCUACCCGACAAAUAUUCAAUUUCCCAAAUAAAAUCAGAAAUGUCCCUGUACAUGAGCAGUGUGUGUGUAAUAAGAGCAAACAUUCUUUGAUUUUCAUUUUUCUUAUUAAACUUAAAUGAAGAUGACUUUGAUGAAGUAGCAUGUUUUUUCAAUUUCAGGUGAUACAUCUGUGAAACACUGAAGGUUGUAUUUUUCAACAUAAUUGAAGGAGAUGUAAGAUUUCACCUACAAAGUAUUGUUUGAAUGCCAAUGUUCAUCUACUCAGAUUCAAACCUGUUCUUUUAAUAUUUGUUUCAGGGCACUGACAUUUGAAAGUAGAGUUUCUAAACUUUGUAGAAAUUCUGUCUAUGAUGAAUGAAAUUGGAGCCAAAUAUGAUGGGAGCUUUGUACUCUGCAGUCCCCGUCCUAUAAAAUUAUGCCAACAUUCACUGUGGGAGAGGUGAAUUGUAUUUGACAACAUAUUCCCAGGCAUUGUGUAAUGAACCCUCAAACUUCAAUUAGAACCUAUCAGAAAGAAAAACAAACACAAUUUCACUCAAAUGCUGC